CCUACGGGAGGCAGCAGUGAGGAAUAUUGGUCAAUGGCCGUAAGGCUGAACCAGCCAAGUCGCGUGAAGGAAGAAGGAUCUAUGGUUUGUAAACUUCUUUUAUAGGGGAAUAAAGGUAUCCACGUGUGGAUAUUUGCAUGUACCCUAUGAAUAAGCAUCGGCUAACUCCGUGCCAGCAGCCGCGGUAAUACGGAGGAUGCGAGCGUUAUCCGGAUUUAUUGGGUUUAAAGGGUGCGUAGGUUGUUUUUUAAGUCAGCGGUGAAAGUUUGUGGCUCAACCAUAAAAUUGCCGUUGAAACUGGAAGACGUGAGUGUGUGUGAGGUAGGCGGAAUGCGUGGUGUAGCGGUGAAAUGCAUAGAUAUCACGCAGAACUCCGAUUGCGAAGGCAGCUUACUAAGCCAUAACUGACACUGAAGCACGAAAGCGUGGGGAUCAAACAGGAUUAGAUACCCUUGUAGUC
rnacentral:rRNA from 1 species